rnacentral:rRNA from 1 species
GCAUAUCAAUAAGCGGAGGAAAAGAAACCAACAGGGAUUGCCUCAGUAACGGCGAGUGAAGCGGCAAGAGCUCAAAUUUGAAAGCUGGCUCCUUCGGGGUCCGCAUUGUAAUUUGCAGAGGAUGCUUCGGGCAUGGCCCCCGUCUAAGUGCCCUGGAAGGGGCCGUCAUAGAGGGUGAGAAUCCCGUCUGGGACGGGGUGUCCGUGUCCGUGUGAAGCUCCUUCGACGAGUCGAGUUGUUUGGGAAUGCAGCUCUAAAUGGGUGGUAAAUUUCAUCUAAAGCUAAAUACUGGCCGGAGACCGAUAGCGCACAAGUAGAGUGAUCGAAAGAUGAAAAGCACUUUGAAAAGAGAGUUAAACAGCACGUGAAAUUGUUGAAAGGGAAGCGUUUGCGACCAGACUCGCUCGCGGGGUUCAGCCGGCAUUCGUGCCGGUGUACUUCCCCGUGGGCGGGCCAGCGUCGGUUUGGGCGGCCGGUCAAAGGCCUCCGGAAUGUAUCACCUCUCGGGGUGUCUUAUAGCCGGGGGUGCAAUGCGGCCUGCCUGGACCGAGGAACGCGCUUCGGCUCGGACGCUGGCGUAAUGGUCGUAAAUGACCCGUCUUGAAACACGGACC